UGCAUGUCUAAGUACAGGCCUUUCACCAUAGGCGAAACCGCGAAUGGCUCAUUACAUCGGUUAAAAUUCAUUGGGUGGUACCUCACUACUUGGAUAACUGUGGCAAUUCUAGAGCUAAUACAUGCAGCAGAGCUCCGACCCCCCGGGGGACGAGCGCUUUUAUUAGACCGAAACCGGACCGGCCUCGGCCGGCUGACCCUCUGGUGACUCUGGAUAACUUUGGGCGGAUCGCACGGCUCUCGCGCCGGCGCCGCACCCUUCAAGUUUCCGCCUUAUCAACUGUCGACGGUAGGCCAAGCGCUUACCGUGGUUGCAACGGGUGACGGGGAAUCAGGGUUCGGUUCCGGAGAGGGAGCCUGAGAGACGGCUACCACAUCCAAGGAAGGCAGCAGGCGCGCAAAUUACCCACUCCCGGCUCGGGGAGGUAGUGACGAAAAAUAACGAUACGGGACUCCUACGAGACCCCGUGAUCGGAAUGAGUACGCUGUAAACGUUCUAACGAGGAUCGACUGGAGGGCCAGUCAGGUGCCAGCAGCUGCGGUAAAACCUGCUCCAGUAGCUUAUAUUAAUGUUGCUGCGGUUAAAAAGCUCGUAGUUGGAUCUGAGUCUCAGACGGCCGGGACCGCCCCCCUCGACGGGGGCGGCCUCUCCCGCGCCCGCCUCUGGACGUCGCUGCCGGCCUCCCCGGAUGAUCUUCGCCGGUUGUGCGGGGCCAGGCCGGCGAGUUUACUUUGAAAAAACUAGGGUGCUCAGAGCAGGCGUCGUCUUACGCAUGCCGGAAUAGUGGUGCAUGGAAUAAUGGAACAGGACCUCGGUUCUGCGUUUUGUUGGUUUUUGAUCCCGCCGAGGUAAUGGUUGACAGGAACAGCCGGGGGCAUUCGUACUGCGACGCUAGAGGUGAAAUUCUUGGACCGUCGCAAGACGAGCUACUGCGAAAGCAUUUGCCAAGAAUGUUUCCAUUAAUCAAGAACGAAAGUCAGAGGCUCGAAGGCGAUCAGAUACCGCCCUAGUUCUGACCAUAAACGAUGCCAGCCAGCGAUCCGGCUGCGUUUUGUGGAAACGACGCGCCGGGCAGCUUCCGGGAAACCAGAGCCUUUGGGUUCCGGGGGGAGUAUGGUUGCAAAGCUCAAACUUAAAAGGAAUUGACGGAGGGUCACUACCAGGACUGGGUCAUGCGGCUCAAUUUGACUCAACACACGGUAGCCCACCCGGCCAGGACACGGGAAGGAUUGACAGACCGAGAGCUCUUUCUUGAUUGCGUGGGUUGUGGUGCAUGGCCACUCAUAGUUCGUAGAGCGAUUCGUCUGGUUCAUUCCGAUAACGAGCGAGACUCUAGCCUGCUAAAUAGACGAGCCGAUCGGUUCCGCGUCGGCCGUGGGUUAAAACUCUUCUUAGAGGGACGGGCGGCACUUAGCCGCACGAGACGGAGCGAUAGUAGGUCAGGAAUGCCCUUGGAUGUUCGGGGCCGCACGCGCGACACAUUGAAGGACCCAGCACGCGCCGCUCCCUGCCCGUCGGGGCCGGGUAAUCACUUGAACCUCCUUCGUGCUGGGGAUUGGAGAUUGCAACUGUUCUCCAUGAACGAGGAAUUCCUAGUAAGCGCGAGUCAUCAGCUCGCUGUUGAUUACGUCCCUGGCCCUUGUACACACCGCCCGUCGCUGAUAGCAAUUGAAACGUUCAGUGAGGUCUUCGGACCGGCUCUUCGGGGCGCUCCGGCGACCCGUCUGCGCUGGAAAGAUGACCGAACUUGACCUUUAGAGGUAUCAAA
rnacentral:rRNA from 1 species